rfam:Pediococcus cellicola strain DSM 17757 Scaffold1, whole genome shotgun sequence.
CCACAGCUACAACCGCACGGCUUGAGUUUUUAAGUUCUGGUUUAGACACUUAAAGCUGGCGAGUAUUAGAAAUGAG